GGAUAGUAAGGAUAGGGCACUUUGUCUUCGGAAUGAGCUUGGGUUGGACAGAGGCCGACCCUUGGAUUUUCCCGGGCCUCAGGACUUCCUUUCAGACAUGG
rnacentral:miRNA from 1 species